AUUUGUAUCGGCAGUAAAUAUAUAUGAAAAAUUGGAACGAUACAGAGAAGAUAAGCAUGGCCGCUGCGCAAGGAUGACACGCAAAUUCGUGUAGCGUUCCAUGUAUAU